GUGCCAGCAGCCGCGGUACUACGGAGGGUGCAAGCGUUGUUCGGAAUCACUGGGCGUAAAGGGCGCGUAGGCGUCCCGGUAAGUCUCUGGUGAAAGCCUUCCGCUCAACGGAAGAAUUGCCAGAGAUACUGUCGGGAUUGAGUCCGGGAGAGGGGAGCGGAAUUCCUGGUGUAGCGGUGAAAUGCGUAGAUAUCAGGAAGAACGCCAGAGGCGAAGGGGGCUCCCUAGCCCGGUACUGACGCUGAGGCACGAAAUCGGGGGGAGCGAACGGGAUUAGAUACCCCGGUAGUCCACGCCCUAAACGAUGGAUGCUAGGUGUUGGAUCCGAGAGGAUUCAGCGCCGAAGCUAACGCGUUAAGCAUCCCGCCUGGGGACUACGGCCGCAAGGCUGAAACUUAAAGGAAUUGACGGGG
rnacentral:rRNA from 1 species